rnacentral:rRNA from 1 species
AAACCAAGAAGGUUAAGUUAUAUAUUUUUGGUUAAAAGACAGUUAGAUGAAACCAACUAAAGUUUAUUUAAUUAUUAUUUGGAAGUAAAAUUCGUAGAUAGUAUAGAAAUUUAAUUAUGGCUAAAAAAUCGAAGCUGUGACACCCCCGAGGGAAACUGGGAUUAGAUACCCCAUUAUUCUUGGAGGUAAAAAGGUGAAAGCUUACCAGAGUACUACGGAUUAGUUUUAUUUAAAACUCAAAGAGCUUGGCGGUGUUUUAGACUCUUUAGGGGAACCUGUCUCAUAAUCGACAAUCCACGAUAAACCUGACCUUUAUUUGCCAUCAGUUUGUAUACCGUCGUCGUCAGGUAACUUUUUAGAAAGUAGAAGUUAGCAAGAGAGAAAGGAUAAUCUCUUACGUCAGAUCAAGGUGCAGCCAACAUAAAGGAGAGGAUGGGUUACAAUUAUAAAAGUUAUAACAACGAAAUAAUGACUUGAAAAGUUAUAAAGAAGGAGGACUUGAAAGUAAAACAGAUUAUAUAAACAUCUUGAAUUGAGCUCUGAAACGUGC